rnacentral:rRNA from 1 species
GGCGGACGGGUGAGUAACGCGUGGGUAACCUGCCUCAUACAGGGGGAUAACAGUUAGAAAUGACUGCUAAUACCGCAUAAGACCACGGUACCGCAUGGUACAGUGGUAAAACUCCGGUGGUAUGAGAUGGACCCGCGUCUGAUUAGGUAGUUGGUGGGGUAACGGCCUACCAAGCCGACGAUCAGUAGCCGACCUGAGAGGGUGACCGGCCACAUUGGGACUGAGACACGGCCCAG